UUAGUGGCGAACGGGUGAGUAAUACGUGAGUAACCUACCUUUAACUCUGGGAUAAGCCCGGGAAACUGGGUCUAAUACCGGAUACGACCAAUCUCCGCAUGGGGUGUUGGUGGAAAGCGUUAUGUAGUGAUUAUAGAUGGGCUCACGGCCUAUCAGCUUGUUGGUGAGGUAACGGCUCACCAAGGCGACGACGGGUAGCCGGCCUGAGAGGGUGACCGGCCACACUGGGACUGAGACACGGCCCAG
rnacentral:rRNA from 1 species